rnacentral:rRNA from 1 species
UAGAGUUUGAUCAUGGCUCAGAACGAACGCUGGCGGCAGGCCUAACACAUGCAAGUCGAGCGCGCCUUCGGGUGAGCGGCGGACGGGUUAGUAACGCGUGGGAACGUGCCCUUCUCUACGGAAUAGCCUCUGGAAACGGAGAGUAAUACCGUAUACGCCCUUUGGGGGAAAGAUUUAUCGGAGAAGGAUCGGCCCGCGUUAGAUUAGGUAGUUGGUGGGGUAACGGCCUACCAAGCCUACGAUCUAUAGCUGGUUUUAGAGGAUGAUCAGCAACACUGGGACUGAGACACGGCCCAGACUCCUACGGGAGGCAGCAGUGGGGAAUCUUAGACAAUGGGGGCAACCCUGAUCUAGCCAUGCCGCGUGAGUGAUGAAGGCCUUAGGGUCGUAAAGCUCUUUCGCCUGUGAUGAUAAUGACAGUAGCAGGUAAAGAAACCCCGGCUAACUCCGUGCCAGCAGCCGCGGUAAUACGGAGGGGGUUAGCGUUGUUCGGAAUUACUGGGCGUAAAGCGCGCGUAGGCGGAUUAGAAAGUUGGGGGUGAAAUCCCGGGGCUCAACCUCGGAACUGCCUCCAAAACUGCUAGUCUAGAGUUCGAGAGAGGUGAGUGGAAUUCCGAGUGUAGAGGUGAA